rnacentral:rRNA from 1 species
AUGCCGCCCAAAACACCCAUUACAUGCAAUUGGGUCAAGUCCAUCGUCAUAGAUAGCACAUUUGACGAUUUUAUGAAGACUGUCUAUCUGCCAAAGAAGGAAAUCAUGUCCUAUCGUGCACCUAAUCCAACCGAAGAAAAGCCUCAACCUAAAGAGGGGGAAGUCAUCGUCUUCACUGAUCACAUGAACCGAGGCUUUCCCCCACCCGGCUUAAAGUUUUUUAGAGACGUCUUACACUUCUUUGACCUCCAUCCUCAAGACAUCAAACCCAACUCCAUGUCUAAUAUUUGCAACUUUCAAGUGUUUUGUGAGGUUUAUCUUGGAGAAGAACCCAGCUUGCUGCUCUUGAGAGAGUUAUUUUAUUUGAACCGCCAGAAUGAACGUGCCAACGGGCCUAGUUUGAAACUUGGUGGGGUCUCAAUCCAAAGACGGAGAGACGCCAUUUUCCCUUAUGCAAAUCCACCAAGUCACCCCAAAGACUGGAACCAAACUUGGUUAUAUUGUCAAGACACUUCUCCGGCUUAUGAGAACCCUCUGCCCAGCUUUCGCGCCCUGUGCCUCGAGUCUAAUCAUCCUCUACCAGACAAGUUAUCCGCUGUUGAAUGCCAGAAGCUCGCCCCUACCAUGGUUAAAGUGAAGGCUCUUUUGGGGAAUGGUUUAAGCGGUAUCGACUUGGUCCGGGUUUGGCUUGCCUGGCGGAUCAUCCCAUUGAGCCGACGUCCUGGUUUGAUGUGCACCUACACAUGCGAGAAGAAUGAUCCUUUGCGGCACAGCCCUGAUGAUUUACCUGAUGACGUCAUUGAUAAUAUGACAAAGUCGCUUUUGAACGAAAGCCUAGCAGACUGUGGCAAGGUGGGCUUAAACCCUUUCUGCAAAGCUAACCCGACUCCAGCGGUAAGCCACUAA